rnacentral:rRNA from 1 species
UACGGGGGGUGCGAGCGUUGUCCGGAAUCACUGGGCGUAAAGGGCGCGUAGGUGGUUUGAUAAGGGUGUGGUGAAAGCCCGGGGCUCAACCCCGGGUCUGCCGUGCCGACUGUUAAACUCGAGGGCUGUAGAGGCAGACGGAAUUCCGGGUGUGGCGGUGGAAUGGCGUAGAGAUCCGGAGGAAGACCGGUGGCGAAGGCGGUCUGC